rnacentral:lncRNA from 1 species
AUUAUUAAAAGUUUAGGGUUGUAGGGCUAUUGUGAGGGUUCCAGAACUUUUAAAAAAAAAGAAACUAAGUGAAAGAGAAAUUGAAUGCAUUUUUAUUCAGUAUGCACAACAUAGUAAAUCAUAUAGGUUAUAUGUGAUUUGUACGUAAUAUCCCGAACUCUUUUUGAAUGGUGGAGAGUGUAAUAUACCGAACUUCUACAAUCAUGAUGCUUUGGUGGGAAUUGGCUUAAAAAGCUAUUAAAAUAGUUCUGGUGAAGUUUGGAGAGUAUUCGAAUGUUUUUGGCGCAAACUGGACGUGAGAACAGAUUCGGAAAGCUGAAAUCUGCCUAAGCUGCAGAAUUUGUACUGAGUACCGGUACGCAAUACAAAAUAAGGAGUUCGAGCUCUCGGGUUCUGAGGAACUAUGUUUGGGCACCGGUACUGGAAACCGAGUAUCGAUACGCAGUUCUGCAAAAUGCAGAUUUUGAAGGGUAUUUUAGUAAAAUCAAGUGUAAAUAAAAAUAGUGUGAAAUACUAUUUUUAUUGACUUAGAAAAAGUAAAAGAUAAUUUGGAAAUAGUUUGUGGUGAAAUUCGGAAAGCUGAAAUCUGCCUAAGCUGCAGAAUUUGUACUGAGUAUCGGUAUGCAAUACAAAAUGAGGAGUUCGAGCUCUCGGGUUCUGAGGAACUAUGUUUGAGUACCGGUACUGGAAACCAAGUACCGGUACGCAGUUCUGCAAAAUACAGAUUUUGAAGGGUAUUUUAGUAAAAUCAAGUGUAAAUAAAAAUAGUGUGAAAUACUAUUUUUAUUGACUUAGAAAAAGUAAAAGAUAAUUUGAAAAUAGUUUGUGGUGAAAUUGGAAUAAAAACAGAAGAUUUAGAAUUUUCUGUAAGGAACGGGGCUGAUCUUUUAGCAGAAAUUCACAGUAUCAGAAUAUUAUGAAAGUUUGAGAAUACGUCGGAAUUAAUUUUCUAAGACUAAAUUUAAAGUUUCAUGUCAUUCCGACACCUGAAAAAUAGAAAAUAAAAUCUGACUGUUAUCUGCUAGAGAUUUUAGUCAGUAAAGCUUUCGGUGACAAAAAAUGGUUCAAAACUGAAAAGUUAAGAUUUCGUUCUUCUCAUUAAUAUUAACCGAGCCUGACUGUCAAAUUUGAGCGUAAACGAACAUUCAGAAGGGCUCCGACGAAAAAUAUCAGAUUCUGAACUAGACUAAAUUGUAAGUUGCAAUUGUUGGGGGGCUUAUAGGUGUA